GCAGAAUAAAUGACCAUCACCACAGUCUUGUCAGUAGGCUGCCAAGGAGUGCAAUAUCCUGGGAGGACAAUCUGAAUCUCACCAGGUGAAACCUUUUUUAAAGAUGCUUCAGUAAAUUACUUCAUCCAUCCCAAAGUUCUGUCAAGGGAAAAAUCUCAGCCUUCAUUUUGCUAUCAAUCACGAAUUGCCAUACUUCAGAAAGAAACUUAAGACUCAAAGAGAUCCUGCAGGUCUUUCUUCCUUACUGGAUGAAAUUGAAUGAAAACAAGUUCCAGAGAGGA